rnacentral:rRNA from 1 species
CCUACGGGCGGCUGCAGUGAGGAAUAUUGGUCAAUGGACGAGAGUCUGAACCAGCCAAGUAGCGUGAAGGAUGACUGCCCUAUGGGUUGUAAACUUCUUUUAUAAAGGAAUAAAACGAGGUACGUGUCCCGUUUUGCAUGUACUUUAUGAAUAAGGAACGGCUAACUCCGUGCCAGCAGCCGCGGUAAUACGGAGGAUCCGAGCGUUAUCCGGAUUUAAUGGGUUUAAAGGGAGCGUAGAUGGGUUGUUAAGUCAGUUGUGAAAGUUGGGGGCUCAACCGGAAAAUUGCAAUUGAUACUGGCAGGCUUGAGUGCAGUUGAGGUAGGCGGAAUUCGUGGUGUAGCGGUGAAAUGCUUAGAUAUCACGAAGAACCCCGAUUGCGAAGGCAGCUUACUAGACUGUAACUGACAUUGAGGCUCGAAAGUGUGGGGAUCAAACAGGAUUAGAUACCCUGGUAGUC